rnacentral:lncRNA from 1 species
AAAAAAUAUCAAUCAAUUCAAUCGAGAAAACUAAAGACAUAAUUUGAAGAAAAACAAUUUACAAAAAUGAAAUAUGACAUACAUGUAUCAACGUAAACCACUACACUACUAGCUCUAGCCUUGGGAAGGCAACACAACAUUUUCAUGUAUUUAAUAACAGAUGUGGGGUAAUGAUAUGAAAUAGUACAAUGCCAUAGAAACAACACACAAAACAGUAUGACUUUGUGGAAAUAUAAGACAAAAGCUAAACAACUGAAAAAUCAUAUAUUUUUUUCCAUAGAAACCACAUAUUUACUUAGCAUGGCAAUUUUGAGGUUGGACUCAUUUAGUACAUUC